UACGUAGGGGGCAAGCGUUGUCCGGAAUCAUUGGGCGUAAAGAGCGUGUAGGUGGCCCGGUCAGUCCGCCGUGAAAGUCCAGGGCUCAACCCUGGAAUGCCGGUGGAUACUGCCGGGCUGGAGUCCGGAAGAGGCGAGUGGAAUUCCUGGUGUAGCGGUGAAAUGCGCAGAUAUCAGGAGGAACACCAAUGGCGAAGGCAGCUCGCUGGGACGGUACUGACACUGAGACGCGAAAGCGUGGGGAGCGAACAGG
rnacentral:rRNA from 1 species